rnacentral:lncRNA from 1 species
AUGACCUAAUAACAAAAUUAAAACCAAGUUUGAAAAAAAGUAAGGAAAAUAUCAAGUGGAAAAAUACCGUUUCAGUAAGGGAUGUUUCUAAUGAAAUUAAUUCUCGCAUAAUGCGCAAGCACGCAUGAAUACACAUAUUUAUUGUCUGUGCCUAUCCUUGGUAUAUAUGUACGUAGAGAAACGUAGGCGUGAAGGUACUUUUUGAACACAACUUGCUGACAUAACAGUGGGUAAGAAACCAACAACGUAGAGUGUUAUCAGCAGUGUCGAAGGCGGUGGUUUUAUAGCUGAUACGUGCCAUUUAUCGGUCUAUGCUACGUUUAGUUAAUUAAACGGCAGUGCAAACACAUACUGCCAGUGCCAAGUAAACAUACACAUUACAAUCAAACGCGAAACAAUUACAGAAAAUCGGAAAAAAGAAUAAGAGAGGAAAGAGCAGCUCGUGAUACGUUGCAUGCUCGUUGCGUGUUGAAUGGCGCUAUGAAUAUCCAUAUGUGUUAGAAUUUCUCUUUAAUUUGCAAGAGGUGGCGCCACUGCAACGUAAUCGCGAUAACAGAUCGAAAUUAAUUUGAGAAUUUACGUUCCUCUCCAGUUCUCUUGUACAUCUUUUAUUGAUUUCGUGUCGUGCGCUUUAAGCAAAUAUAUUUAAAAAAUAAUAAUCUUUAUAAUUAUUAUCAUUAUUAUCAAAUGUUUUAUUAGUUGCUAUUUUUUAUAAUAUAAAAAAAAAUAAAUAAUGAUGCAUAUUGAAAUUUCAUACAUAUUUUAACGAAGAAGAAGAAUAUGUUAAAAAAUAAUUAGUAUAUGUUAAGAUCUGAUAUAAAUCCAAAGAGAUCAUCCAAAAUGAUGGGAAAAGUAUAGAACAAAACCGAAGGAUGAUGCAGCCAGGAAGAAAUUCCUGGUAUAUCAGACCAUGUGCAUGCGGUAGACUUUGACGAUCCCUUAAGUGAAAUAUCAUCGACAAUCAUUCACGUGAGAUCUUUAUCGGCUGGUAACGUGAUCUCUGACCCUACCAAACUCGGGAGCAGUUUUAUGCGAGCUCCCGCGGCGCGUGAAUAUACACCCAGUGGGUGCUGUUGCCUCGUCGAGGAAGAAGAUCUGGUGAGAUCGCUGGAAGAUCGAAGCAGGAAUGUAACGCGGCCCGUGGGCUUUGGGAUGGUUGGAAUCACAGAAAAGUAUUCGGUCGGGUUCGCGUGGAAGCCACGGCAUGGCGUUCUGUACGCAGGAAUGCGACUGCCAAUAAAUAAGCUUCGGCAUUUCGCGCGGGAUUCGCGCGUCUUAUCGAGCCACUCGGCCGCUGCUGAGGAUGGGCUACUUCCGAUCCAAUCGAUCGAAUCGAUGCUUCUUAUCUGUGUACAACUGUGUUGGAGUAAAGAGCUCUUUCAUCGGGGGGAGGGGGGAAAAAAAAUCUGAUCCUUUUGAAAAUUAUGCGAAAACGUUCCUUUUGCUGUGAACAAACUUGAGCGUGAGCGCGAAUAAAUUAAUGACGUACCGUAAAGAAAGUUGUGUUACAACAUUUUGUAUAGCGAUAUUCACAUUUUAAGAGAAAUUCUGUGAUGGAUAAAAAUGAUAUAGUAGUAUAUUAUGCAAAUAUAAUGUAUUAAUUAAAAGUAAUAAUUACUAUUGAAUCACUAUACAUAAAUUAAGUGUGUGAGGCGAAAAUAUGUAUGAAGAAUAUAUAUAUAUAUAUAUAAGGGAAUAAUUUAUUUAUAGAACAAAUAGAAACUAUUUUAUAAAAAAUGGAAAAAUAGAAAAACAGAAAAUCAUUCUAACAUUCUACAAACAAAAGUAUCAGGAUUAAGAAUAUAAUCUACUUUAAUUACUUAAAUUUAUUUUAAUUAUCAUGCAUCAUAUUCAUGAUUUUUUUAAGUUUUUGCCAAACUAUUUUAUAGUCACUUUUUAAACAAUUAUAAUAAUAUACAAAAUGGAAUGAAUACAAUUGGAAUGAUAGGAAACGAACCGACGUUUCUGGAAAGACACCGGCACAUUUCGAAAGAUGAUAAUUACGCUUUUACGGUACACGGCCAAAUCUACAUUGUGUCUACGAGGCGAGUCCUCUCGCGGCAAGGCAUAGGAAAUCGCGCAAUACUUUUAGGCUCCCCGGUACACACAUUGCGAAAAAGUGAAAUGUGUUGUACCAUUGCGUUUCCAUUGUUGUGUUAUGGAAGAGACGUAAAACGGGGCAAGGUUGAAUCUCUGAUUACUUGAAAGACUUCUACAUUGUACAAACCAGCCCCGAAUUUUCUAAAAUCUAAAUAUCCUAAUCUCUUUAUAUUUUAAACUCGUUAGAAAAAAAAAUUUUUGAGGUCGAUUUUUUUACAAAUUUCAACUGAGAAUUACGAUUAUUUUAUUCUUUAUUAAGAUACAAUUAGAAGAAGAGAAUUAUAUUAAAAUAUUUAAUAAUAAAACAUAUCCAAACAUUGGAUAAAACUGACUAAAAAUAAAUUAA